rnacentral:rRNA from 1 species
UACGUAGGGACCAAGCGUUGUUCGGAUUUACUGGGCGUAAAGGGCGCGUAGGCGGCAAUUCAAGUCAUCUGUGAAAUCUCCGGGCUUAACCCGGAACGGUCAGAUGAUACUGCUUUGCUAGAGUGCGGGAAGGGGCAAUCGGAAUUCUUGGUGUAGCGGUGAAAUGCGUAGAUAUCAAGAGGAACACCUGAGGUGAAGACGGGUUGCUGGGCCGACACUGACGCUGAUAGCGCGAAAGCCAGGGGAGCAAACGGG